rnacentral:rRNA from 1 species
AUGUUGUCUCUAGUGAGGAGGAGGCAAGAGAAAGGAAAAGGAAAAAGAACAAGAGGCCAAGAGCCAAUGCUCCUGUUAGGAUGUCAUCCGAUGUUUGGGCCCAUUUUCACAAGGUCAGUGGAGCCAUGUGAGAAGACUGGAGAGAUUGUGUUGAAGGCUGUUUGUAAUUAUUGUAUCAACAAGAAGUAUGCGUAUACGCAAGGUGGCAGCACCUCAACUAUUGGAAGGCAUCAUUUAAAAUGUAAGGGUUACAAGGCCAAGAUGGCUAGGUAUGUCAUCCAAAGAACUCUUGAAUUGUGCAAAAUCAAUGGUACAACAAGUGGUCCAAUAAUGCACCCCUCUAUUGAGUACGACCAAGGAAUCGUCAAGGAGCUCAUUGCUAAGAUGAUACAUGUGCAUGAGUAUUCAUUUAGAAUGGUUGGACAUGAGUGGUUCAACAUCCUAAUGAAGUGCAUGAAUCCAAAUUAUAAACCCAUUGGAAGGAAGGCAAUAUGA